rnacentral:tRNA from 1 species
GAAAGAGGCUCAGAAGCAAUAAGAACUGCUAAUUCUUACCCCCAUGGUUAGAACCCACGGCUCUCUC